UCCUACGGGAGGCAGCAGUAGGGAAUAUUGCACAAUGGGCGAAAGCCUGAUGCAGCAACGCCGCGUGCGCGAUGAAGGCCUUCGGGUUGUAAAGCGCUUUUCUGGGGGAAGAGUAAGGACGGUACCCCAGGAAUAAGUCUCGGCUAACUACGUGCCAGCAGCCGCGGUAAAACGUAGGAGGCAAGCGUUAUCCGGAUUUACUGGGCGUAAAGCGUGUGUAGGCGGUAUGGUAAGUCGGACGUGAAAGCUCCUGGCUCAACUGGGAGAGGCCGUUCGAAACUUCCAAACUUGAGGGCAGUAGAGGGAGGUGGAAUUCCGGGUGUAGCGGUGAAAUGCGUAGAUAUCCGGAGGAACACCAGUGGCGAAGGCGGCCUCCUGGACUGUCCCUGACGCUCAGACACGAAAGCUAGGGGAGCAAACGGGAUUAGAUACCCCAGUAGUCCAAGCCG
rnacentral:rRNA from 1 species